rnacentral:rRNA from 1 species
UACGUAGGGCGCAAGCGUUGUCCGGAAUUAUUGGGCGUAAAGAGCUCGUAGGCGGUUUGUCGCGUCUGCUGUGAAAACCUAAGGCUCAACCUUGGGCUUGCAGUGGGUACGGGCAGACUAGAGUGCGGUAGGGGUGACUGGAAUUCCUGGUGUAGCGGUGGAAUGCGUAGAUAUCUGGAGGAACACCGGUGGCGAAGGCGGCAUCCUGGACCGGCAUUGACGCUGAGGCGCGAAAGCCAGGGGAGCAAACGGG